AGGGCCCUAUCCCGGGGUGCUCGGAGCCCCCCUCGCCAUCCGCUGCUGUCAUGUAUGCGACAGGGCACGUGCACUUUUUGUAUAGGUACUUGUAUGCAUGUGAAAUUUAGUUACCUGAGCAAUCCCAUUGAUUCGGAUGAGAGCGUUCAUGUGACUAAAAUAAAUUAAACAUGGGAAUGUUUGGAAGAGUGUGACCUUAGAGAUGAACAGUCGUAUUUCGAAGUAUCGAGAGGAUACCUAUUAAAACGUAAAGCCAGGAGUUCCUAUCUGAACCUGGAAACAGAAGCACGCUUAGCUAGUGCACCUGCAAAAUAAUGGUACUCAUGGGAAAUCUCUUGAUCAGAUUCACAUCUGUUCCUGUCAAAGUGGGUGCUAAGAUACCGGUCACCCAGCAACCAUGUCCAAGAGGGAAUUGGGCCGAUAAUAACUUCAAAAAGGAAUGACAGAUGCUAGAUUAGGAUGAAAGACAAAACGCAUGAAAAAUGAGCUUGUUAGAAUAAAAAAAUUGUUCAAGCACCUUCAUGCAAAUUAAAUGAAUAUUGAACAUUUGCAUGCAGUAAUUUCUACUUUUUCUGUCGAUUGAGAAGAAAUAA